UACGAGGGGUGCAAGCGUUGCUCGGAAUUAUUGGGCGUAAAGGGUAGGUAGGUGGUCUCAUUUGUCUGGGGUGAAAGCCUCGAGCUUAACUCGAGAAGUGCCUCGGAAACGGUGAGACUAGAGUCUUGGAGAGGGUCGUGGAAUUCCCGGUGUAGCGGUGAAAUGCGUAGAGAUCGGGAGGAACACCAGAGGCGAAGGCGGCGAUCUGGACGAUGACUGACGCUGAGACGCGAAAGCGUGGGGAGCAAACAGG
rnacentral:rRNA from 1 species